rnacentral:tRNA from 1 species
UGUUAUGUGGCUUAGUUGGUCAAAGCGCCAGGUUAGCGAUAUGGAGUCGUGAGUUCGAAUCCCACCAAAACAA